UACGGAGGGGGCGAGCGUUGUCCGAAGUUACUGGGCGUAAAGCGCGCGUAGGCGGGAGCUUAAGUCCGCUGUGAAAGCCCGGGGCUCAACCCCGGAGGGUCGGUGGAGACUGGGUUUCUUGAAACAGCUAGGGGGAGAUGGAAUUACCGGUGUAGCGGUGAAAUGCGUAGAUAUCGGUAGGAACACCAAUGGCGAAGGCGGUCUCCUGGGGCUCGUUUGACGCUGAGGCGCGAAAGCUGGGGGAGCGAACGGG
rnacentral:rRNA from 1 species